CUCUCCCACCUAAAAACGUUACUCAAGCUGAGGCUUAUGCCAACAUAAGAACCAACGACGAGCUGUUUACACACGCUCCAACGACCAGCGGCCUCACCGAGGUAGUUUCAGAGAUGGUCACGUCGUUUCUCCCAAUUUCGUCCAUCUUCUUCUAACGUCAUCGGGCUUUCCACAGCUCCGAUUAGACCCCCCACAAACACCCGAUCCGCUUACUGUCCGGAAUCUUCACUUUGAACGCCAUGGGCAACACAUCAUCAAUGCUCACGCAGUACGACAUCGAAGAAGUCCAGGAACACUGCAGCCACACGUUUUCGCAGCAGGAAAUAGUGUCACUGUACCAGAGGUUCUGUCAGCUCGAUCGAAGCGGCGGUGGUUUCAUCUCUUCUGAGGAGUUCAUGUCCGUUCCUGAAUUCGCCGUCAACCCUCUCUCCCAGAGAUUGUUGAGGAUGUUGGACGGAUUGAACUUUAAGGAAUUCGUGGCAUUCUUGUCCGCAUUCAGUCCCCGUGCGACUUUACAACAGAAAAUUGAGUUUAUUUUUAGAGUUUAUGAUUCGGAUGGCAAUGGAAGAGUUGCGAUGAAUGACAUGCUCGAAGUUUUGCGGGACUUGACAGGACAAUAUAUAUCUGAACAACAGAGGGAGCAAGUUCUGACCCAAGUCCUUGAGGAAGCAGGCUACACAAAGGAUUCUUCGUUAGUUUUGUCGGACUUCAUGAAGAUUCUUGGCAAUUCUGAUUUGAAGAUGGAGGUUGAGGUUCCAGUGGAUUAAUGCAACAAAAAUAAGUUCUUUUCAACAACUCUGUACUUUGGUGGUCCAUAGGCAUUUCUCACAGUUCAUAUUUCCACCAUUCUGCUAAUAGAGCCAUGGCAAGCCACUCUGCAGAAGCUGCCCCAAACAGAGUUUCCCAUUAGUGUUUGUUUUUCUGGAAAUUGGGAACAAUACUACACUUCAUCCUAAAUCCUGUCAUCCCCAGUUAUACAUGGUAAUGUGUCAUAUUUCAAGUGACUUCUUCCAUCAAUUACUUAAAUGACAUCCCUUUGAAAUCUAUCACAUCACCAAGUAUUAUUGAGGAUGACAAAGAUUAGCAUGAAUUAAGAGUGUUCAUUGUGAGUUAAAACAUCGUUGUUCCUCAGCUUAUCAUCACAAAUAGGGAUAUGACAAACUUGACAGCAUUGGAAAGGAAAGAUG